AGCGGAUCACCAAGCCCAGCAGGCGGCUCUUGGCGGAGACCGGAGAAGCGGCUGUCAUUCCCUGAGAGGAGGAAGACCACCCGUAUCUCGCCGCCCCGCCACCUCUCCCUCGAUGCCCACGUUACCCUGCCAAGGCUUCUCACCGGGUCAGUGUUGAGCGCGGUGAGUGGGGUCCGUGGCGGCGCGACCGGACAAGCCCCGGCCGGGUGGAGCGGUGGCGCGGGCGGUGGCGGCUGUCUCAGCAGAGCAGGGGUUUCUUUGUUAAAGUCUACAUCUUUGUAAGACUUUAACCAUGUUGAAGACAAAUGUCAAAGAGAUUUGAUAUGAAAUCUGAAUGUUGCAGUGUGUGUAUUACCAAUGGAUCUGAAAUAUCCCUCACCUGUGAGAGUUUACUGUCUGUGGCCAAGGGACUGUCACAAGAUGAACAUUCAAGAACAAUGACUCACAGCCAAAAUCCAUGAGCUCUUCCAGCUUUUAGUCUAUGCUCUUCAAACAGUAGCAACCAUGGAAGACUAAUACGUUCCCUUUCCCAUCUGAAAAGGAAACUUAGUCUUUUUACUUACAACUAUUGAUAUCAUAUAUUCUUGAUCUCUGUGUAUUUUUCUGCCUUGUCUUUAACAAUUAUUUCUUAUAAGUGUGAUUGGCCUCUAGGUUAACUUUGGGGGAGGGUAGCUUGUAGUGGGUUGAGUGAUAUUUUCUACAUUAAGACUAAAGUUUUGCAAGCACAUUCUUUUUUUUUUUUUUUAUAGAUGAGUGUGUGUCUAUGUUUGAGAACAUGUGGGUACAUGUGUGUGCAUACAUGUGUAUGUGUGUGUUUACACAUGAAGGCCAGAAGACUACCUCACUUGUAAUUUUCAAACCACAGUGCACUUCUUUGGAGAUGGGCUCUCUCACUGCCUUGAAGCCUCCCAAUUAGGACAAGCUGGCUGGCCAGCAAGCACCAAGGACCCCGGUCUCUUCCUCCUCAGUACUCUGGGGACUGAAUGUGGCAUAGCACAUCAUGCUUCUCAGGACAUGUUAUCAAGUCAGCUAGCUCCAAGCUCAUCAUAUUAUUUGUUUAUUUGUUUUAAAUGCUAAGACAAACUCUGUGGAAUUGGAAAUCCCUACCAAAAAUUUGCUUCUUAAACAAAUUAAGUAAACAAUACUUUGCAGUUUUUAUCAUCAGUCCAAGAAAGCAUUCUUUUUCUCCCUCUUGACAUUUUCCUUGUUAAUUCAAUGAUUACGUAUGGAGCACUGUUUAAAACUAGGGUUUAUGUUCUGGCCUCUGAGCUUGUGAGAAUGCAUCAGUUCCUGAAUGAAGAAGUUUUGUGGUUCAGAUGUCCUGAGCCCUUUCAGCACCCUUAAGACUUUGAAGAAGAUGUUUUCCUAGUCUAGGCCAUGCCUUUCUUAUUCUUUUUUUCCUUUUUCUUCCCUCCUUCCUUUGCCCCCCUCUUUACACUCCUCUUUUUUAAGAGAAACUUUAAGAACAGUUUUCAAUUGACAGAGACAUUAGAAAGAUAAGAAAUUCCAUACAUUCUAUACCUACUUGGCCCUGAUGGCCAAUAUCAUUCUUUAGUGUGGUAUAUGUAAUUAGCAUUAAUGAGUUAACAUUAUUAGGAGCUGAAGUCUCUGCUUCAGUCAGACUCCCUUAGCUUCCCCCUAAUGUCCUUGCUCUGUCCCAGAGUCCCAUCUAGAAGCCCACAUUACAUUUAGUCUUCAUCUCUCUUUAAUAUUCCUCUUACCUCAUGUGUCUCGCCAGAUUUCCCUUGGCAGUGUGGAAGAGUUUGGUUCUCCCUGAAAAAUAAACGGGAAUAAAGAACUUG
ensembl:lincRNA A330033J07Rik RIKEN cDNA A330033J07 gene